UGGCAGUGCUUUGCUAGCUGGCUGUUCAAUAAAUGAUUCCAGCAGCUGGUUGCACGCCCCA
rnacentral:pre_miRNA from 1 species